GACGAACGCUGGCGGCGUGCCUAACACAUGCAAGUCGAGCGGGAACCUCAGGAGGGGUAACCCUCCUGAGGGGAGAGCGGCGAACGGGUGAGUAACACGUGGGCAACCUGCCCCGGACACCGGGAUAACCCAGGGAAACCUGAGCUAAUACCGGAUACUCCGGCGAGAUCGCAUGGUCGCGCCGGGAAAGCUCCGACGGUCCGGGAUGGGCCCGCGGCCUAUCAGCUUGUUGGUGGGGUAACGGCCCACCAAGGCGACGACGGGUAGCUGGUCUGGGAGGACGGCCAGCCACACUGGGACUGAGACACGGCCCAGACUCCUACGGGAGGCAGCAGUGGGGGAUCUUGCGCUAAUGCGCGAAAGCGUGACUCAGCGACGCCGCGUGGGGGAUGAAGGCCCUCGGGUUGUAAACCCCUUUCGGCAGGGACGAAGCGAAAGUGACGGUACCUGCAGAAGAAGUCCCGGCUAACUACGUGCCAGCAGCCGCCGUAACAC
rnacentral:rRNA from 1 species